AGGACAUUCCGGAAGUGCAGCAGGGGGGGCGUCUCUCCCGGAGAAGGUCUCGCAUUCGACAGGUACACUUUGAGCCCCGACAGGAUGUGUACUAGUCUACACGGGAAGUUCUCUUUUCUCCUGAAGCGCUUGGCAUCUGCCAUCAGCUCCCCCUACAUCCGGCAGAACCCUUAAAGCCCCAAAAAUGUCUUGAUGUCUGCACUUCUCCAGGAAGAGCACAAAAUGCU